UACGUAGGGGGCGAGCGUUGUCCGGAUUCAUUGGGCGUAAAGAGCUCGUAGGCGGUUCAGUAAGUCGGGUGUGAAAUCCUACAGCUUAACUGUAGAACUGCCUUUGAGACUGUCAAUCUUGAGUACGGAAGAGAGAGAUGGAAUUCCAGGUGUAGUGGUGAAAUACGUAGAUAUCUGGAAGAACACCAGUGGCGAAGGCGGUCUCUUGGUCCAUUACUGACGCUAAGGCGCGAAAGCGUGGGGAGCAAACAGG
rnacentral:rRNA from 1 species